rnacentral:lncRNA from 1 species
UUCAACCCCACCCAGCACAGGCACAGACGUCCAGUGAACUGUUGCCAAGCUGAGGAAUGAAUGAGUGAGAGCCGGGCUUGGGUCAAACGUGAACUUCAAUCCUACUUCUCCUGCUUAGAGCUGCAUGACAAUAGGCAAGCUAUUAGAUCUCUCAACUGUGAAUGAGGUGAUAAUAAUAAUAAGGUCACCUGCUUUCUAGGAUUAAUUUGGGAAUCCGAUGAGGACAAAAGUGUGUAAAACUUCUAGCAAUUGGUUCACGGGAAUAACAUUCAAUUAUAGAAAGUUCUGUUCUAAUAUUGGGGGUGAAGAGCAAUUAUUUGGAAAGUAAAUUUUGAAAACUUGUCACUUAAACUUAAGCUGAGGACCUGAACUGAGUGCCCACUCAGUGCAGACACUACCAACCCUGUUACCGUCAGGAACCUUGUCUCACUCAUGUUAUAUCUCCUGUGGGGCCUAGAACAUAUUUGUUUAGCUCAAUAGAUAGGUAUCGAGGACCUACUGUGUGCCAGGAACUGUGCUAGAUACCGGGGGCACAUGGCUGCCCGGAGAGACCCAUUUUCUGGCCUCCCAGACACGACGUGAACUAAAUAGAGUAGAAGUGGCCCAACUCUGAGGCCUGUGCUUUAGGCACAUAGGGAUGUUAUUUGCCUCAGAAAACACCUAAGCCAGAACUCCUGCACUUCCGGCUUGGUGUAAUUUUAAAAGAAGACAAUGCUUUCUUCAGAUAUUUCUGAUUUUCCAUGCAGGCUUCUGUUGACAGCAAUACCACGGCAUCUGUGAAAUUUGCUAAUGCACAAUUCUGCUCUAAUGCAUCAUAAGGCAUUUUAUGACAUCCACGCAGCUCCGAUAAAGAACAUGCUUACAACUGGGAGAAAAAACAACGAGGCAGGAAGAGAGCAAGGUGGGCUCUCAGGAAAUCUCCGUUCCUCCUCACUUAGGGCUGUUAACUAUCACACUUUGUUCCCUGACUCCAAGAGGCUAUCGCAGCUGCCGUUUCUGAGAUGUGAGUUUCCUGGUGACUCUCAGCUCCGAGGUGGAUGUUGACAGAAUGCCAAAUUUCUCUGCCCUUCCAGCAAGGUAAGGGGCUCGAGGAUGCUUCCUGCUUCUCUCCCUUGGGGAAAGUGACAGCAAGAGAGCCUGCUCUGACUGCCUUUGCUGGGAUGCUGUCCUCUUGGAUAGCUGUGUUCGAAGAUCAUCAUGUCAUUGAAACUCCUUGCCUGGCAGGUGAAGGGCCACUGACAGGGCUGUGGCAUACCCGCCUCGCCCUUCACCGUGGAAGUGACUGCUGUGGCUCCAGUCCACGCACCAGUCAAGUGGCCAUGGCAAUGAAUGUGGGUACCUAGAGCACAUCAACAGAUCCAAGCACUAUGACACCGCUGGUCUUGCCCAGAAUGUGCCAGGGCUGCCUCUCCUCCACCCGCAUGACACUCCUGAGCUCAGAUUUGUGCCUUACUCACUGCCCCCUGGACUCUUGGAGGACGCGUCUUCUUUUCCUGAGAUAAGCAUCUUUUCUCUGAGACGCUGCUUAGAUCUUUUCCUGCCCGUGAGUCUGGACACUGGUGGGAGUUCAAGAAUGAUGAGAAAGGGUGACAUGGCCAUAGGGUCUGCGAGGACCGAUCUGGCCUAUUUCAAAAUUUAAAUUUGGUUUGAGGUCCUAAAACGGCUAUAAAAACCUUACGCUAAAUAAGGAAAACUAUCCCAUUCGGGGGUCUAAUCCGAGCCCUGUUCUGCUCUGCUUCGCUCCCUCAUUAUACUUGUAUAUACAGUACGGUUGCUAUUGAGUCUUUCCUUCCUGUUUUUACACUUAUGCUUGCUUCACUGACUUUAUUAUCGGCAGAAUUUUGCAGCAUUUUUUUUCCAUAGCCAUAAAUACUAUUCAGUUCAACAAAUGCAUACAAAUGGUUUCCAUUAGAAUUUUAAUCUACUCUCAAAAUGAAAGAAAAGCUUAAUAUAAAUCUUUUUAAAUUACCAGAACAUAAAUUCAGACAGGGACAGCUCCACCCAGACUACACACAAGGGGUCACAUCCCGCUGUCCUCGUUCAUAAAUUAAUUGCGGUCCCUCGCCGCCGUAAAUGCACGGUGCAUCCUGGAAAGAUCAUAUCUGCCAAGAUUGCAGAUUGCUUUCCCUCAGACUUUGUAAAAGUCACAGCUUACAAUACCUUCAUUAUGCCGAUGAGAAUGGCUGUCUCCCCAACUGGAAAGAAAUAGGGGUUUUGUUCUGUUGGACCAAGAUUUACAGAAAGCAAUUUUCCUCCAUGCAGGAGAUAUGACAAACCUGCUGGAAAAAAAUGUCACUUCACAACUUCUUUCAUUUCAUCACCUUUUUUUACUGCCAGAUGUAGAUUCUCUUUCCUGUGCGCAUGGGCUGCCAUGACAUUUAAUGGCUAAGCGAGGUAGUCACCAGUGAGUGGACGCACUUUUCCGAGGGGCUAAGUUGCAGAGUUAAUGUUCCUUCCUCUCUCACCUCCGAGAGGCUGUCUGGAAGCAUCCCAGAGUCGGCCAGCUGGAGGGAGGGAAAACUCAAGGCCCUCCAGCCCUCGGACCAACUUGAACAUGAGAACUUGUGUGAGCCUUGACAGUCUUUUGCAAACAGCCUCAGCGGCCUCCGUGUUCCUCCUGUUUGCUGAGCCCAAGAGGCACAACACACCCGUUCUGUCCUUGGCCAUCGGCGGUACUCUCAGAGGAGGACAACUGAAGGACAGAGUUCGGGCUCAGAUUUUUUUUUUUUCCAUUUCCUCAUGUCACAACCUAACGCUGUUCUAGCACAGCUUCUGCAUAUUAAAUGGCCUUUUAGCAACCAGGAAGGGGGUGGUGUGAUCUGUGGAGAAAAGGCCCCUCAUGUAAAUGUAUGAUUGCUGACACUACCCCACUGAGGAGAAAGGGCAAGAUUAGCCUGGAGCCCAGGGGUCAGCAAACCCUGAGAAACGUCACUCUUUACAGCCACUUCUCUCUCCUUGAGUCAAGAGCCGCUGUUCUGGGCUCCUGGCCCACAGCAGCCCCAUCCCGGUCCUGUCACCGCCUGUUCUCUGGGCCGUGGUUGGCAACGAGGCUGAGGAAGUCUAAGGAAGAGCAUACAGAAAUACUCUGGCUUCAGAGAGCUUGUCUGAGGUUUGGGUACCAGAGAGAAAGCAAAGACAAAACUAAAUCUCUCUGCCGCCAAGGAGGAGCACCUGGGCCUCGGGCAGCCACCCACACUCUAGGGCUGCUGCAGAUAAUUAAAAUCUCUGCCUCUACCACAAAGACGGCCUCCAACUUCCUCAUCUAGAGGCAGAAGGAAAAACUAUUGUCUCCACUCAACGAAAAGGAAGCAGGAAGACAGAAGGGCCCCGUAAUGUCACCCAGGCCAAGAAAUGCAUAAGUAGAAGGGAGCAAAACCGACAGUGAAUGGCUGGUUCCAGGUGCCUGUCAGGCUGGUGCCACACUAUCGUCUAAGGCAGCAGUUCUCAAAGCUGGGUCCUGCGGACUCUUUCAGGGGGUCCAUGUGGUCAAUGCUAUUUUCAU